rnacentral:rRNA from 1 species
GACGGAGGGUGCAAGCGUUGCUUGGAAUCACUGGGCGUAAAGGGUGCGUAGGCGGUCUCGCAAGUCUGGCGUGAAAGCCCAAGGCUCAGCCUUGGAAGUGCGCUCGAAACGGCGAGGCUGGAGUGCCGGAGGGGAGAGUGGAAUUCCCGGCGUAGCGGUGAAAUGCGUAGAGAUCGGGAGGAAUACCGGUGGCGAAAGCGACUCUCUGGACGGCAACUGACGCUGAGGCACGAAAGCGUGGGGAGCAAACAGG